GUUGGGUAUGGAGACAUUUAUCCACAAACCCUGUUGGGCAAGAUCGUAGGGGGACUCUGCUGUAUAGCUGGAGUGCUGGUCAUUGCUCUCCCCAUCCCCAUCAUCGUCAACAAC
rfam:Oryzias latipes DNA, chromosome17, strain: Hd-rR.